GUGUAGGAAAAGAGCAAAGUUAAGUGCUGUGCUGUCAUUCCCCCUGCUCAAAAUAAAGUUGUUGCUUAACUAUACCUGUCUGCUAUACCUAUGUAGCAGCCAGGGACACGUGGUCUCAUACAU
rnacentral:snoRNA from 1 species